UAAGACGAACUGUGCAAACGUUAUUCGGAAUCACUGGGCUUGAAGAGUGCGUAGGCGGUUUUGUAAGUAGGGUGUGAAAGCCCCCGGCCCAACCGGGGAAUUGCGCCCUAAACUGCAAGGCUGGAGUGAGGUAGGGGUGUGUGGAACUUCUAGUGGAGCGGUGAAAUGUGUUGAUAUUAGAAGGAACGCCGGUGGCGAAAGCGACACACUGGACCUUGUCUGACGCUGAGGCACGAAAGCCAGGGGAGCAAACGGG
rnacentral:rRNA from 1 species